GAUGAACGCUGGCGGCGUGCUUAACACAUGCAAGUCGAACGAAGCACUUUAUUUGAUUUCCUUCGGGACUGAUUAUUUUGUGACUGAGUGGCGGACGGGUGAGUAACGCGUGGGUAACCUGCCUUGUACAGGGGGAUAACAGUUGGAAACGGCUGCUAAUACCGCAUAAGCGCCCAGCAUCGCAUGAUGCAGUGUGAAAAACUCCGGUGGUAUAAGAUGGACCCGCGUUGGAUUCGCUAGUUGGUGAGGUAACGGCCCACCAAGGCGACGAUCCAUAGCCGACCAGUGAGGGUGACCGGCGACAUUGGGAGGGAGACACGGCCCAAACUCCUACGGGAGGCAGCAGUGGGGAAUAUUGCACAAUGGGGUAAAGGCUGAUGCAGCGACGCUGCGUGAGCGAAGAAGUAUUUCGGUAUGUAAAGCUCUAUCAGCAGGGAAGAUAAUGACGGUACCUGACGAAGAAGCACCGGCUAAAUACGUG
rnacentral:rRNA from 1 species